ensembl:lncRNA
GUUUGUCUUGCAGAUUGCCUACUAAGGGCCACCUGGAUCCUGCGUGUCCUUCUGAGCAACAGGUUUUGGCUUCAGCGCUUGAAAGCAAACACUGAGUGUGGGAUUGACCAGCCAGGGCUGCUUUGGGGUGGCUGAUAAGGAGCAAGAGAGCAGGCUGCCCCCGGGGCAGUGACCUUGUGAGGAGAACCAACAGCAUGACCUCACAUUUCCAGCUAAAGCUGGCUCCUUUGUCCCCAGCCCUAUGGAAACCAAACAGCUCUCCAGCAGGGACACCCAGAGCAAGGUGUGCAGGCCCACGGCCAGGGGACAUCUAGAGAUCUCCAAAGAGGAGACCCACAGCCUCUGAGUCCCUGUGCCAGUGCUCAGGCAUCCACACAGCACCGAGGUGCUGUCUGAUGGUUAAAGAGACCUCCUGGGUUCUUUGUGCCCACCACUCUUGCUGGGCUGGGCAGGGAGAACAGCACUUCCAAUUCUGAUGGCCUUUUGCUGUUAUCUCAAUCUCAACCCGUGCUCUCUAAAUUGCUGGGAAAUCGCAUAUUUUGUGGUUAAUGAUUAAGACGUCCUUCUGGAAGCCGUGACUUUGCUUAGAGGCAUGGACUUGCUCACUGACAUGCUUAAAGCCAUACAUCAAGGACACUCUGGGAAGGCACCUGUGGGCACCCACUUAAUACAGGGUAACAUUUCCCCGCAAGCAGCCUGGAUACUCAGGUGGAAGAGCUGAGCUGAGCAGCGAGGCCUGUAACCACACCAAGGCCUCCUUGUGCUGGGAGCAGGAGGUGGGGCCUGUGCUGCCCCGCCUGCACCAGCUGCACUCCUUCCAGCCCUCGCUUUGUCCAUGCAGCUUAAUGCUCACACAUACAUGUGUUUUUCCAGCUGUCAGAUUGCUGCCCUUGGAGCUAAGGUGCACUGAAAGAUUUGUAGGCUAUUUUUGAGCAGUAAUAAGAGAAAAUCGUGGUGCAUUUGGCCUGCUGAGCUGCUGAGGCAGGAGUGCACGGCAGUGAUGGGACACCCCCCAUCCUCCCACCUUGCCACGUGUUCCCUGCCCUGCCUUCAGGGCUGCCAUGUUGAGGAUGGUGGUUGCUCUUCGAGGCUCAUUUUUGACCUUAUCCCUGCCAAGUGCUGUCCCAGCUGCUGCUCAGCACUGAGGCUGGGUUGUCCUCCCCUUAUAUUCCCUUUCAGUACACAGAAUCAUAGAAU